UCUGCAAUCUGAGAGAAGAAGUGUCCAUGUCUAUGGAAAAUAAAACAAGAACAACAAAGAAAAAGACGACUUGUUUAGUCACCAAGUUUCAAGCUGCACAAGUAGUAGGGAGGAGCACAAUCCCACAUCGACUAAAACUUACUUUGUCUACUUCGUUAUAGUGGACACGCUAAACAAGAAGAAUAGCCGAGCCAGGUAGCGUGGGCUUGUGAUCCGAGUGGAGGCAUUAAGGUGAUGGAACGUUGAUCUUGUCCAGAUGACUGAGUCUAGUGUGAUAAAUUUCUGGCCUGCCCGUUCCAAGCCGAGAGCUGAGCCAUGUGACCCCAGCGAAGGCUUGGGUUACAUGUCUCCUAAAGUGGGGGGCAAUGCGUGAGGCUGGUUUCACAGAGCAGCGACAACCUCCCGCUCCUGGCAGUGGGAAGGAUAACAGGCUGUCGUCUCCUAGGCUCAUAUGGUCUGAUGGGCUGAUAAAACUGGACCAUCACUUUUUUUUCCCUGCAUUUAAAAUCAUUUUGCACGGCCAGUGUGUCAUUAGCAGCUCACUCCGGGUUCAAUCACUUCCUCUAUGUUGUUUCUUCCUUUUGGCGUGCGCUGAUGAAGUAUCUAGGGGAGGAGGGACUCAUACGAAUUGGGUUUCUUUUGGCUGGCUGCUUUCUGGCGGGUCUGGGUUCAGCUUAGAUGGCCUUGAUCGUACGGUGGACCUUAUUCUUCAUUGGUGAGUGGGGGUGCCAUCAUUGUACAUUAAAUGCACGCCCCACUUGCCAUGAUCUUUGCCCUCUUGGUUGAAUUGAAAGGGUGGGUUUUUGGUUCCUGGGAUUUCACACCCUGUUCUCUCCUGACCAGCUGGUCUGAUUGAGUGCUGCCCCACCUCUCUUCCCUCUUCUAAUUCGGUUGGGAUGUUGUCAGGUGAGCUUUUUUCUAUUAUUGAUAGGGAAUUUUGUGUCUGAGAGGCUUCGCUUGCUUUGUUAUCUUUUUGUGUCCGCUUCUUGGAAUUUGGUUGGCAUGGCUUGUGGGGAAGUAUAUAAGCUUUUUUUUUUUAAUCUAUUCUGUGUGGUGAAUUCUCACAUUUCCUUUUGUUUUCUUAAAAAACAUUUGGGUUUUGCAAGCUUUCUGAGUUUUUUUAUUUAUUUUCUGAUUUGAUUUUGUAUGGUAGACAGAUUUCACAGCUGAUUGGAAUUCUUAUUUGGAGGAUAUUGCCAAUUACAUGCAUGAUCACAAUGAUGCAGAGGCUACACCGUUCUAUGCAAAUUGCUUGCAUUUGUAUUUAUGGACUGCGUGAUGCAUUCAUUCAAGGUUUGAACAACAUUAGUUUGUGGUGACAAUUCACUUCUAAUCCUAUAUACUGGAGACUUGAAAAACAUUAUUUAAUGGGAAUAGCAUGUUAACCAUUUCCUUUCAUCCUUCCACAUUAUUAUGGUGGAAUUUAUAAUAGCAUAAAUAGUUGCAACUUCCAAUAGCCUCGCUUAACAUGUUGCCAUUGCUUUUGAUGGCUGCUGAGAGGUUGUCAGACAAUUUCUUAGGAAGAAGGUUCGGCUGCUGAAAGGUUGUUAUGAUCGAGGCUACUUUAUUGGGGUUGAGCCUUUUGGUUGCGAAUAUGAGGUGGCCUUCCAUUAAUGCAUUUGACAGGGCAUUUAGCAUUUUGUGUUUGUUUCUAUCAGUUUAGGGCCUUUAGGCUAUUAUGAUGCCGCCACUAUGAAGGCUUCAGGUUAUCUCACUUGCCUUUUGUUUUUGGUUUUACUCCUGUGCUUGCUGUCUCUUUACUUCUUUGUCCACUUAUUCUUCGGGCGAUCUGAAAGGGUGUCUGUUUGUUUUUCUGUUGUCUUUUUAAAUGGUCAAUUCUGGUCUACGUUGUCCAUCUUCGUAAGGGUUUCUUCCUAUUCUUUUCCUUUAGCUCAGAUGUUUGUUCUUUUUUAAGAGAGGGAGGCUGUUGUGGUCCUCUGCUUUGUUUGGUAUCUGCCUUCUCUUCUUUUUUGCUGAUUCGAUUGGUUGUUUGAAGGAUUUAACUUUGUCUUGAGUUGCAUCUUUUUUUUUCCUUUUUUUUCCAGCAGGGAUUGCUUUUGAAGGAGGUAAUUGGCUCUCUCUAUUGGUUCUUCGGUUGAAUAAAUUUUGGGAGAUUCUUACUGAUUAUCAUCCUUUCAGCUGAUUUCAGUAUGGCAUGUCAUGUGAUAAAAUUUUUUAGGUAAUUGAUGCAAACCAGAAACAACCUGGUUACCCCACUAGAUUGUGUUCAAGUAGCAUUAUAGCUAAGGAAAUUUGAUUGUAUCAUGUAAUUUGAACUGCCAUUGUAGUUUAAACUUAUUACCUCCACUUGGAACAAUCAAACUGUAAUAUAUGACCUUUCUACUGUUGUUUCUGGUUUGCAUCAGUUACUCAUAUUUCAUUGAACUAAGUGGGGUAAUUUGCAUCCCAGAUAUCUGUCAGUGCUAAUGGCAGUUCACAUGCUACAAAGGUAAAUUUCAUUGACUUGCAAUAUUGGUACAGGACUAUUUAUCAAAAAGAAGGUCCAGGACUUGCUUGCUAGAGACUAGGUGGUUCAGGUUCAUCAUGCUUACAAGCUGCUGAUUGGCUAGCAAACUUGGGUUUUUUAAAAGGCCACUGGGAAAAGCUGCUACGGAUGCUCCCUCUUCUGGUUUAAUCCCUGUCUUAUUUUAUGAUUUUAUUGGGAGUAUAUCUUUAUUUAUUAAUUGCAUUUGCUUUAACUUUGUAUAUCAAACAUGCAGAGCAUGGAUUCAAAUUUAAUAGAUAGUAAAAGGCAGGGAGCGUGCUAUAUAUAUUGUGUAAAUCAAGAAUUAUGUGAUCUUCAUAUAUAUACACUUAGCCAUGUCAACCCAAUUAAGCUUGUAAUGCAGCUUCAAAUGAGGGAACUAGAAAGAAUGUUUGAUGAAGUACAUUGUCCGUCUUGUACCAUUUUCAUUAUAAUGCUCCAGUUGUAAGUACGAGAGAGAGAAAGAGAGAGAUUAUGAAGUUGAUAAACUAGAAAAUGCAGGCAUCAUCAAAGGAUUUGACUAUUAUUUAUUUCUGGUAAUUAAGAAAUAAGGAGGUGAAAGCUACACUGACUUGCCUCUGUUACUGCAAUUGAAAGUCCUGAUACAAGCAUGUGUUUUUGAAUGACAGAACUCCAUAUUGGUGAAUUCUAUGUGGUAAAGUCGCAUCCUAAAGUGUAACGAACACUAAAAUAAUACUACAGGCCAUCCAGUUCAUUCAGCAGUAUUUGAAGUGUAGGAACUUUGCACUUAGAAUUAAGACAUGCUACUUUUUCCAGUUGCAUCUGAAAAAUCUAAUGCAUUCAACGAAAUGAAGAAUGGAUGCACAGAGGCUCGUGAACUUGCACUCAGUUAAGCUUUAUAGGCUUCAUUUUCUUAAGUGAUAAAGUCUUGAAUCUACCUCGUUUUAGGAGGUUAAGUAAUAUUUAUCUAGUUUUAUUUAUUAAGGGUAGAAUAGUAUUUUCAGUUUAACCUAUAUAUAAUUUCUUUGUAUUUAGGUUAACUUAAGCAUUCAUAAUAAACAUCUUAUUGAGAAUUCUAGCCUCCUUUUAUGUUUGAUCAGAAUUACUUUAACAUGGUAUCAGAGCCUAGUUGAUCGAACCCUUGGUUUGUUAAUUUUAUGGAACUCGCUGCCCUUGUAGAAAUUAUGUUCACCAAUGUCAAAAUUGUUAUCAUCAUCCACUUCAUUCCCUGUAGGAUGUUCCAACACGCUCAAUGCAUUCCUAUGAAGCUUAACUUCAGAUUCAUUUUUCAAAACAUCAGACAUGAGUUGUUUGACCUAUUAAAAGAUGGAGGAUGAAGAUCAAGUUUUGUGCUUGCGGCUGAAGAAUUAAUAUCUGAAACUUUAUUUUAGAUUUUUCAGCUUCUGCAAUUUGGUAUUUCUGUUCUGCCUCUGCAAUUGUUUUGGUAUUUCGUCUUCUCUUCAGUUUCUGCAAUUUGGAAUCAGCUUCUGCAAUUUGGUAUUUCUAUCUGUCUCUGCAAUUGUUUUGGUAUUUCGUCUUCUCUUCAGUUUCUGCAAUUUGAAAUUAGCUUCUGCAAUUUGGUAUUUCUGUUCUGCAAUUUGGUAUCAGCUUCUGUAAUUUGGUAUUUCUGUUCUGUCUCUGCAAUUGUUUUGGUAUUUCGUCUUCUCUUCAGUUUAUGCAAUUUGGUAUUUGAGUUAAGUUUCUGCAAGAAAAAUAAAAAAUUUUAGAGUGAUAUUUUGUCUUCCGCUUCUGCAAAAUCUGGUAUUUCAACUUUCCUUCAGCUUCUGUCAUGGCAUCUACUACCAAAGAGAUUGUUUGGUUACGUUGGUUACUUGCUGAUAUGAGAGUUUUCUUUUCUCAUCCUACUCCUAUGAAUUGUGACAACCAGAGUUCUAUUCAGAUUGCUCACAACUCGGUUUUUAUGAGCGAACUAAGCACAUUGAGAUCGAUUGUCAUCUUACUCGUCAUCAUCUCAAGCAUGGCACCAUUACUUUGCCUUUCGUUCAUUCUUCCUUGCAGAUUGCAGAUUUCUUUACCAAGACGCAUUCCAUAUCUCGUUUUUGUUUUCUAGUUGGCAAACUCUCGAUGCUUGUAGAUGCCGCAUCGUGAGUUUGAGAGGAGAUGUUAAGUAAUAUUUAUCUAGUUUUAUUUAUUAAGGGUAGAAUAGUAUUUUCAGUUUAACCUAUAUAUAAUUUCUUUGUAUUUAGGUUAACUUAAGCAUUCAUAAUAAACAUCUUAUUGAGAAUUCUA